ACCGGCGCACGGGUGCGUAACGCGUAUGCAAUCUACCUUUUACAGAGGGAUAGCCCAGAGAAAUUUGGAUUAAUACNNNNUAGUAUAUAGCCCUGGCAUCAGGAUUAUAUUAAAGUCACAACGGUAAAAGAUGAGCAUGCGUCCCAUUAGCUAGUUGGUAAGGUAACGGCUUACCAAGGCUACGAUGGGUAGGGGUCCUGAGAGGGAGAUCCCCCACACUGGUACUGAGACACGGACCAGACUCCUACGGGAGGCAGCAGUGAGGAAUAUUGGACAAUGGGCGCAAGCCUGAUCCAGCCAUGCCGCGUGCAGGAUGACGGUCCUAUGGAUUGUAAACUGCUUUUAUACGAGAAGAAACACUCCUUCGUGAAGGAGCUUGACGGUAUCGUAAGAAUAAGGAUCGGCUAACUCCGUGCCAGCAGCCGCGGUAAUACGGAGGAUCCAAGCGUUAUCCGGAAUCAUUGGGUUUAAAGGGUCCGUAGGCGGUUUAAUAAGUCAGUGGUGAAAGCCCAUCGCUCAACGGUGGAACGGCCAUUGAUACUGUNNNACUUGAAUUACUAGGAAGUAACUAGAAUAUGUAGUG
rnacentral:rRNA from 1 species